GAAGGACUAACUAACAAAUAAAGGUGUGUGAGGAAAAGCAGCCUGAUAAGAGUAGGGGGGUGGGGGGUGGAGCAGACACAGUAAAGACCCAGAAAGCAAAACCUCAGUGAGUCAUGGACUGAGUAAUUCUUUCCAAACCUCUUAGCCCCAUUCUCUAGUUUAAGAGCACAGUCAGGGCUACACACGGUUCCCCUCUUGCCAUUUCCAGACAUUCAAAGACCUCAUGAUUCCCCCACCCCCACCAAACCAACACUUUAGGACUGGUGAUUGUUGGUCAUAACAUGUGUCUGGUUUUCUUUCCUCGAACUCAUUAUCAAAAAACCUAUCAGGGAACAAAUGAGAGAACUCAGCCAGGAAGGAGAGGCUCUCCGGACCAUGUUUGAAAUCCCACGAAGGCUUCCUCCUGAAACAGCAAAUGUGUCUGAACAAGUCCGUUCAAGAGAGAGCCAGUGGCUACAGGAGGAGAGCAAGGUGCCCACUGAGACUUUCUGGAACCUUCACACCUGUGGAAGCAGAAGUUUCUAGAUGUCCCCUGUGAAGCCGUAUGACGCGGCUUCUUAGUGCAUGCAGGUAUCCUGAGGAUAAAGUGGAAUGACCCGUGUGCUGUAUGUACUGAGCUCGCGUGCAUAUGGGAAACACCACACUACUGUUUGGCGGUUGCUGGAAGAAACCGCGCUGUGAAGUGUCCCCACAACAAGCACAUUCGUUCAGGGCAGCCAUGCAGCUUCUCGGUAGACCACAAAGAAGCCACCUGCGUACCCCAGUCUACUCUCCACACACAGUUUAAUUCCUGCCACAUCUUCUAAGAUACCGUCCUCUGUAGUGAUGACUAGGGAUUACUAAAGCAGUCCCUGAGAGUAACUAAUAAAGAGGAAUUCUGAACUGCCUUAAAAUUAAUCACACAGGCUGGCAGGUGAAAAAAAAAAUAAUAAAGGCAUUUAAUCAGC